rnacentral:lncRNA from 1 species
CAGAGUGGUCGCAGGAUGGAUGGGAGCCCUGGGGGAAAAAAUUUGACAGAAUCAUUGGAGAGAGCUUCAGAUCUGAACUCUAGGUAACAUCAACAUUUAGAAGGAAGAAAGAGGUCCACAGAAAAGCUAGGGACAGAAGCAGCCAAAGAAAUUAGGACCCAGCGGAUUAACACAGAAAAAGCCAGACUUGGCGAGAACUGGGCAGUAGUUACUAGCAACAAAUAAAUGCUGCAGGGACUCAGCCAACUGAGCACCAAAGAGAAUUCAGAAAACCUGGCACCCAAAAGCUGCCGCCGAUGCCCAAGGUCAUUCCCAGCAGACUGAUGGAUGCGGAUGGGGGUGGGGAGCCCAGGCAGACUGCAGUAGUUAACAAGUCCGGUCAGGGCGUGGCAUUGUCCGGUCAGGGCGUGGCAUUGACUCCUCAUUGUGCUGGCUGGAGGGAAGGAGAAAGAAAAGGCGACACUUUGUGGCCAAAACGCCCUGGAGAGCAGCUGGAGCUGCUCUUUGGAAAGAGGGACUGAGAGCACUUGAAAAGAAGACUGGGGUAAUCCUCCGGCUCUCCACCUCAAAAAGAAAGCAACCAGCGCUGAUGCAAAUAGCAAGCGCUUUGUGCUUUGAACUCGGAAAUCGCACAAUGUCAAGGGAGCCACAAAAGUGCGCACUUGAAGGGCUUCUCUAAUGGAGACAAAGGCAGGAAAAGAAAUCCACUUUCCAACAUGCUCAGUGGUGCUCAGAGAGCAACGCCCGAUGUCAUGGGCGUGCUAUCCGGUUGUCAGAAACUUUUACCCCUGUAAGAAUGCAGUUCCUGGGUGAUUUUUAUUUUUUUAAUGUCCGUUAGUGUGGAGUGGGGAGACCAAUGCAUCCUAAGACAAAUGCAACAAAGUAGCUCACUGGGUGUUUUCUAUCUUCCACCCUGGCUGCCCACCACAGCUCAUCUCCCAGAGCAAAAUGAUUCUGCCCUUUCUCCCACAUUGUAUUCCCAAGUCACUGCACAGUGCCUGAUAUGUCAUAAUUACUUGUUCUAUUAAUUGAUUAAUGCCCUGCCUAAGACCCUAUUCAUUUCUUGCCUGAACAAGUCUGCUUUCUGACCAACUCUCCCCCUACCCCCGGGUUGUGUUUUGUUUUUUUCUCUCUCUCUCUCUCCUGGUGUCUAUUGCUGUCUUGCAAAAUAGUGACAGAGUGCACUGUCUUAAAGCAAUAGUCAUGGGACCAGCAUAGUGAUACAGCGGCUCAGGCCAUGGCCCAUGAUGCUAGCAUGCCACGAGUGCCCAUUCAAAUCCUGCUGCUCUGUUUCUGAUCCAGCUCCCUGCUAAUGCACCUGGAAAAGCAGCAGAAGAAGUCCUGAAUGCUUGGGCUCUUGCACCCAUGUGGGAGACCUGGAUGGAGUUCUAGGCUUCCUAGCUUCAGUCUAAUCCAGUACAUUGCUUAGUAUCCAGUUUAAGAACUAGGGUAGGGGCUGUGGCUGUGGCAUAGUAGGUUACGCUUCUGCCUGUGGCACUGGCAUCUCAUAUGGCCACCAGUUUGAAUCCCGGUUGCUCCACUUCUGAUCCAGCUCCCUGCUAAUGAGUCUGGGAAAGCAGAGGAAGAUGACCCAAGUCACUGGGCCCCUAUACCCACUUGGGAGACCCAGAUGAAGCUACUGGUUCCAGACUUGCAAACAUCUGGGGAGGGAACCAGAGGAGGGAAGAUCUCUCCCUCUUUCUCUCUUAUCUCUCUCUCUCUGCCCACCACCCCAUCUCUGUAACUCUGCCUUUCCAGUACAUAAAUAAAUCUGAGCAAUGGUCAUUCUUUAUUUUGCCC